UAAAAUAAUUAUAUAUCAAUAAUCAUUAAAAUUAAUAUCAUCAAUAACACAUUAUACUAAAUAAUAUAUUAUAGAUAAAGGUAGAUUAGUUUAAAGUUAACUUUGAUCUUAAUUUGUUUUAAUAAUUGGUUUAAAGAUAAUUAUUCCAAACUUAUGAUUAUUCUAUAAAAUGAUCUUUGACAAGGUAACCAUAAAUUUAAAUUUCGAAGUAACUAAUAUAUUAAAAGUAGCUCAAAUAUAAUUCGUAAUAAAAACACAACAAUAUAUUUUCAAAGAAAACAUAUAAUAAAAAAAAUAGGUAAAGGGAUCCAAAUGAUAUCAAAUAUUAAGAACUUAUCCAUGAUAUUAGUAUCAGAAUUUAAUAGAUUAAGAUAAAAUUUAAACCGAAAGAUCAUAAGUAUCAUAAAAAUAUCAUUAAAUUAAAGUUAAAAAGUAAAGAAAAGAAUUAUUAUUAUAAUAUUAAAAUAAUAAAAAUAUAUAAAAAACUAUAUAUAUUAUUAAAAUAUUAAAAUUACUAUUUGUACCGAUACCAAACAAGACCGUACCGGUAUUUUCGAUACCAGUACCGGUUGACACCAAGCUUAUCCCACCCCGUGAUACUAAAAAAUCAUUAAAUUAAAGUUAAACAGUAAAAAAAAGGAAUUAUUAUUAUAAUAUUAAAAUAAUAAAAGUAUUAAAAUAACUAUAUAUAUAUAUAUAUAUAUAUUCUAAUAUAUUAUUAACAAGAUUUUGGCUAAAUUAAUUAGAUUAUUAUAAAUAAUAAUAAUAAUUUACAAAUAAAACAACACAAUUUGCAACAAAGCAAUGCAUGAAACACCAUAUUAACAUAUAGUACAGUACAUUAAUGCUAGAACCUAAUCUAUACUAUAUUAUAAAGCAUUUCAUAAGGAUACCAACCAAAUUUAAGUAAUUACAAUCUUUUAUACUUAUGGUACAACAACUUAAUGAUGUUAGUAAGGGGAUACCAACCAAAUUUAAGUAA
rnacentral:lncRNA from 1 species